GACGAACGCUGGCGGCGUGCUUAACACAUGCAAGUCGAACGGAAAGGCCCUGCUUUUGUGGGGUGCUCGAGUGGCGAACGGGUGAGCAACACGUGAGUAACCUGCCCUUGACUUUGGGAUAACUUCAGGAAACUGGGGCUAAUACCGGAUAGGAGCUCCUGCUGCAUGGUGGGGGUUGGAAAGUUUCGGCGGUUGGGGAUAGACUCGCGGCUUAUCAGCUUGUUGGUGGGGUAGUGGCUUACCAAGGCUUUGACGGGUAGCCGGCCUGAGAGGGUGACCGGCCACAUUGGGACUGAGAUACGGCCCAGACUCCUACGGGAGGCAGCAGUGGGGAAUAUUGCACAAUGGGCGGAAGCCUGAUGCAGCAACGCCGCGUGCGGGAUGACGGCCUUCGGGUUGUAAACCGCUUUCGCCUGUGACGAAGCGUGAGUGACGGUAAUGGGUAAAGAAGCACCGGCUAACUACGUG
rnacentral:rRNA from 1 species